rnacentral:rRNA from 1 species
ACUGUCCUACGGGGCGCAGCAGUAGGGAAUCUUCCACAAUGGACGAAAGUCUGAUGGAGCAACGCCGCGUGAGUGAAGAAGGGUUUCGGCUCGUAAAGCUCUGUUGGUAGUGAAGAAAGGUAGAGGGAGUAACUGGCCUUUAUUUGACGGUAAUUACUUAGAAAGUCACGGCUAACUACGUGCCAGCAGCCGCGGUAAUACGUAGGUGGCAAGCGUUGUCCGGGUUUAUUGGGCGUAAAGCG